UGAAAAUCAGCACAGUGGAAGACAGCCUAACUCCAGUCUUGGUGCCAGAAUUGGCCCCAUCCUACCAAACCCUGAAUUUGUUUUGUCCACUAUGAACCACAUGCCAUUUGAACAGCACUUCGGUCACACAGACUCUUCUGUGCUCAAAGUGAGAUUCCAAGACCCAUGCUCUUAAUGAUAACCACACCAUUCCCCACUAUUCUUCAACACUGUGGUUUCUCUUUGGCUGUCUUACCCCACACUCCCUAUAACCAGGAGAGGGAACAUGUCCUGUGACAUGGACACUUGCUGUCGUAAACUGGCCCAACAGAGCCAGUCUACAUGCACCCAGGCUCUCCUGUGGCAGAAGGUGCCAUUAAAUUCUGCCGUUGGUCAGCACAUCCUGGGGCCUGCUAUGAGAGCCCUUUGGAAACGUGGGUCAGGUUGUGGACACUGGAUUCCCCCCACAUUGCAGAGAGCUCGGAGGCUGGUGCUGGGUUGAUUGAGCUCUGGAUGUGCCUUCAAACCCUUCUUUUAAGUUUACUUCAGUUGGGGGAAGUUUCACUCAGAAGUCAAGCCCCAUGAUUCAUGGCAGCAGAGCCUGCUAAGCGGAGCCAUAGAUCUUGAAUCCUUGGUUUCCAUUCAGAGUCAAGCGGAAAGGCAUAAGAACUUGAACCUCAUCUCAUGGAAGGAAAAGGUCAAGGGCAGGGCUGGAAGUUCACUACAAAAAGAGGAACUCAGCUUUUAUCUUCCAAAAAUAUAAGAUGUUUUCCACUCACAACCAAGAGCAGCAGUUUAUACAGCCCUUAAAUAUACAGAUAUUCUUCAUUUAACGACCCACCUCUUUAAUGGCUGCUAAGACUUACCAGCUGCUGCUCAGACUUAUGACCCACAUUUGGACUUACGACGAAGGAACAUGAGUGGCAGUAUGGUCUUAUGGUGGCUUCUUCUACACUACAGUAUGGUAAUUUUUGCUGAUGUACUGCACAGUACAGUACUGUAGUUUUAUAGUCUGUUGCAUAUUACAGCACUGCAUGUAAGAGUUAUGUAAAUAAAAGCAAAGUCACUAAUUUGGAGUUUCUGUUGACCAUUUCUUUGUUCUGAAUAUUGUGCUGUACAAUACAAU
rnacentral:lncRNA from 1 species